GGAGCAAAAUAAACAGCAUGAGAACCAAGGACACCUCUAGAAGAAGAAGGAACGGCUCACGGCUCUCAUUGCACAAGCGCCAGCGUGAACGGUUGAAGAGUGUUUGUAGAGGGCUCUGUUGACAUGUAAAGGCGGAUGGGAAAGUUGUAGGGGUGGAUGGGAAUGCUAAAAGAAAAGAAAAAGAAAAAGAAAAAAAAGAAAAGGAAACUUGUGAAGGAUGAAACCUUACACUCAGAAGACAUCAGAAGCUCCUUGUGUGGGCUGUAGCUUCUCUGCUCCUCCUCUCCUGUGGGUUUCAUGCUCCAGCAGGGACCGUGCAGGGAUACACAGCAGCAGCACUGCAGCCAGGAGGUGUGUGCAUCAGCAGCAACGCGGGCAGUCCAAAGCCCUAGCACCGCUAGUUGCAGGCCGCCAGCCAGACUCAGCACCACUGAUGACAGCCAGCUGAGCUUGCUGAAGACGAGGUACGCAACCUCCACUGCUCUCUGCCCAUCUGCCCAGCCACUGGUGACAUCCGAGAAAGCUACCAGCUUGGCUCAGCAUGAUCUCCCCUGGGAGAACCCAAGAGCAAACCUAGAUCCAAAAUCUCUGAUGAGCACCACGAGAACUCGUUUCGAAUUGCA
ensembl:lncRNA